GAUACCCCACUAUGCCUAGCCCUAAAUCUUGACACUUACACUACUAAAGUGUCCGCCCGAGAACUACGAGCACAAACGCUUAAAACUCUAAGGACUUGGCGGUGUCCCAAACCCACCUAGAGGAGCCUGUUCUAUAAUCGAUAACCCACGAUACACCCAACCGCCCCUUGCCAAAGCAGCCUACAUACCGCCGUCGUCAGCCCACCUCCCUUGAAAGAAUAACAGUGGGCACAAUAGUCCCUUCUCCCACUAACAAGACAGGUCAAGGUAUAGCUUAUGGGGCGGAAGAAAUGGGCUACAUUUUCUAAGUUAGAAAACCUAACGGAAAGGGGCGCGCAACCCCCCCUAGAAGGCGGAUUUAGCAGUAAAGUGAGACCAUAAAGCCCUCUUUAAACUGGCCCUGGGACACGUACAUACCGCCCGUCACCCUCACCGCAAGCUAUGAGCUCCAUAACUAAUACCCCUUCCAAGCUAAAGAUGAGGUAAGUCGUAACAAGGUAAGUGUACCGGAAGGUGCACUUAGCACAC
rnacentral:rRNA from 1 species